rnacentral:rRNA from 1 species
AUUGCCCCAGUAACGGCGAGUGAAGCGGCAACAGCUCAAAUUUGAAAUCUGGCCCCCGGGGCCCGAGUUGUAAUUUGCAGAGGAUGCUUCGGGCGAGGUGCCUUCCGAGUUCCCUGGAACGGGACGCCACAGAGGGUGAGAGCCCCGUCUGGCUGGACGCCGAGCCUCUGUGAAGCUCCUUCGACGAGUCGAGUAGUUUGGGAAUGCUGCUCUAAACGGGAGGUAUAUGUCUUCUAAAGCUAAAUACCGGCCAGAGACCGAUAGCGCACAAGUAGAGUGAUCGAAAGAUGAAAAGCACUUUGAAAAGAGGGUUAAACAGUACGUGAAAUUGUUGAAAGGGAAGCGCUCAUGACCAGACUUGGGCCCGGUGAAUCAUCCAGCGUUCUCGCCGGUGCACUUUGCCGGGCCCAGGCCAGCAUCGGCUCGCCCCGGGGGAUAAAGGCCCUGGGAACGUGGCUCCUUCGGGAGUGUUAUAGCCCACCGCACAAUACCCCGUGGCGGACCGAGGUUCGCGCAUCUUGCAAGGAUGCUGGCGUAAUGGU